UGUCACGCCCCGAUCCUCGGGCACGCACACAUCCUUCUACUCUUGGUCGAUUUUAUAAUGCGAUAUCCCAGGACUAUGUAUCGCCGACCCUUUCAUUUUUUAAGUACAUGCGGAAGCAGUUAAAAUUCCCAGACAAUAAAACAAUGGGAUAGAAAAGCAGGGCCAUAUUUCUCACAUUGAAACUUAUAACCAAACUUUUAUACAAAACACAAAUCAAAACACUUCACAACUUUUUACUCUAAACUCUAUUCACAUCAAUUGAAGUUCACAAAAGAAGAUGGGAUCUCAAUCCAUCCGGGUCGUACUCAAGACCCCCUUCAGAAUUAUCUUCUUCUUCCAAAAAUCAUUUUCCUCAAGUUCGCCUUCGAGUUCUCCUUCUCAAGCUCCUCCUCCUCAGCUCCUCAACGGAGUCCUGAAAUGUUUUCCCCAAACUGGGAUGAGACUACGUCUCAGCGAGUUCUACCCCACUAAGCCCGAUUAGUAAACCAUUAUACUAUAGGCUGCCUAAACACGUAUAGGGCAGAUGACUUACCUUGGACUCAGAUUCCACCUGCAAGUCAAUACAAUUCGCAUACCUUAUGUAUAGAAUCGAUACUUCCAGCAAUUGAAACGCAUCACUCAACUCAAUAAAUCACAAGGGUCCAGAUUAUAAGGCCAAAUCGUUAUGACACGUCCCAUACCAUGUCACAUAAUUUUGUUUCAUAAUCCGGUGCAUCAAACUCAACCAUCAUGCGUUCCAAUUGUUAAUUACACCCCUCAAGGGUACGGCCAACUCUAUUGGCGGUCUUCUGGCAUUGCCAGGCGUCGUCUCCCCCGUGAGCACGGCAACGUCUCUCAAUUAGACGGCUUCCCCGAAGGGGCGUAGGUCUAGAAUCUACUGCGACCCGCUACCCUAAUGCAUGGGUAACCCGAAAAGGGAUUUAGUAACGUCCGGCAUAAUUGCUCGAGACUGGUUCUCUUAACCAACACACGACCACUCAAUCUCGGCCCAGGACCCUGUGCAUUGCACUCAAAUGCCUCAAUUAAAAUAGUGAUCCUGGCCUAUUUCCUUCGUAUUAAAAACAUCCCGAAAAUAGUCGUGUGUGGGUACACGGUCAAUUCGAACCAGAAGACUGAUACCUGUCUUUUUCAAACCCCACUAUUUGAUAUAGUACUUAAAAUCCAUUUUCGGUGUUAAAACCCGACACCCGGGAUUUUCUGAAUAAAUAUCAAAAUCCACAAAUUUUGGAAUUAAAUACCAAGAAUCCAAUCAGCACUUAAUUUGCAUAAUUUAACACUCAAUUGCAGAAUUUAACCACGCCAUUUACCAAUCCAUAAUUCAAUCUCAAUCAAUUCCAAUCAAUUUAGAGUAAAUCUCUAAAAUAUCACAAUUUAUUUAAUUCCAUACAACGUGGAGCUCAAAUAAAUAAACGGACUGCGCCACGACAAUCAACACGAGAUUUCGGUCGUCGGCCAUCAAAAUCUUAAUUUCCGAAAAAUAGUUAUUUAAUUUAUUAAUUUCGAAAAUUAAAUAAUUAAUAUUAAAAAUUCAAUUUAACACAAAAUAAAGCCCAAUUAAAUAAACGGACUUCGCCACAGUCAUCAGCAUAAAAUUCCGGUUCCGGACCAUCUCAGUUGAAUUUUUGGAAAAUAAAUAAUUAAUUAAUUUAAUUCCGAAAAAUAAUAUUUAAAUGCCAAAAAUCACACUUAGGCCCGAAUCGCCAAAUUGAAGCCCAAUUAGGGGUCGGAAAAUUUCCGAGAUACUUCCAAUAAAUAGUAGACCACGUCUACUUGUUAAUUGCGCAAUCAAUUUAUCUAAAUCGCAUCACAAUUAACUAAUAAUUGCUAAUUUAUUAUAAUCUAACAACCUAAACAUAAUUAAUUAAAACUAAACCAACCUUAAGCAUAAUUAGCCAACUAAUCAGGGAUUAGUGAGAUUACUCACCAAAUCGCACGCAAAUCGGAUCAAUCCGACGACAGCGACGCGAGGAACGAAACUUCCCAAAGCGACUCGCGGAUCCGGGGCCCGGAAACGGCCCAAAAGCGGGCCCGAACCAGCUGGAAACCCAUUUCGUGGGUUGCUGGUUGGCUGCGAAACAGGGGAAAACAGAGAUGGUUAGGGGCGGAGAAGGCUUCGGGAGAGCGGGUGGUGCUCCGGGGAGGACCGGUGGAGGUCCGGUGGCUUCAAUCGGCGGCCGGACAGGGGUGGAACGGGGCUGGCAGAGGCGAUUUCGCUCGGGAGAAGGGGCGUCUGGACGGAGGAGAAGGUAGGCGGCGCACGGGGGUGAGUUGCGGGCGCAUGGGCGUGCGCGGGCGUGUAGUGCGGGCGGCGAUGGCUUCGGCGAGCUGCUGACUUCGUGCGCUCGCGGCUUCCGCUCGAGCUUUUGCUUUCUGGUUUUGCUUGCUCGAGCGUGCGGAAGAAGGAAGAAGAAGAAGAAUGAGAGAGAGAGAGAGA
rnacentral:lncRNA from 1 species